AUGGCAACUAGGAGGAUAGAAGGUGAUAGGUUUUUCACAAGCAACUAUAAUGAGGAGACCUACACUAAAAAGGGAUUGGAAUGGGUGAACACAACCGAAAGCUUAAAGGAUGUGAUUGAUCGUCACUAUCCUGAAACGACAAACAAGUGGUUGAACGCUUCAAGUGCUUUCUCAGUUUGGAAGGCACCUCCAAACAAACAUAAUUCUAUUCCACUUUACCUUCGUGUUCCUAAUUAA